rnacentral:rRNA from 1 species
AGAGCAUUGCAAUUAUUGCUCUUCACGAGGAAAUCCCUAGUAAGCACAAGUCAUCAGCUUGUGUUGAUUACGUCCCUGCCCUUUGUACACACCGCCCGUCGCUACUACCGAUUGAAUGGCUUAGUGAGACCCUCGGAUCGGUGAUCAGAAGCUUUAACCGGCAUCUGUUCGCUGAGAAGUUGGUCAAACUUGGUCAUUUAGAGGAAGUAAAAGUCGUAACAAGGUUUCCGUAGGUGACCUGCGGAAGGAUCAUUA